rnacentral:rRNA from 1 species
UUAAUGAGAGUUUGAUCCUGGCUCAGGACGAACGCUGGCGGCGUGCCUAAUACAUGCAAGUAGAACGCUGAAGGAGGAGCUUGCUUCUCUGGAUGAGUUGCGAACGGGUGAGUAACGCGUAGGUAACCUGCCUGGUAGCGGGGGAUAACUAUUGGAAACGAUAGCUAAUACCGCAUAAGAGUAGAUGUUGCAUGACAUUUGCUUAAAAGGUGCACUUGCAUCACUACCAGAUGGACCUGCGUUGUAUUAGCUAGUUGGU